AGUGAACGCUGGCGGUAGGCCUAACACAUGCAAGUCGAACGGCAGCACAGUAAGAGCUUGCUCUUACGGGUGGCGAGUGGCGGACGGGUGAGGAAUACAUCGGAAUCUACUUUUUCGUGGGGGAUAACGUAGGGAAACUUACGCUAAUACCGCGUACGACCUACGGGUGAAAGCAGGGGAUCUUCGGACCUUGCGCGAUUGAAUGAGCCGAUGUCGGAUUAGCUAGUUGGCGGGGUAAAGGCCCACCAAGGCGACGAUCCGUAGCUGGUCUGAGAGGAUGAUCAGCCACACUGGAACUGAGACACGGUCCAGACUCCUACGGGAGGCAGCAGUGGGGAAUAUUGGACAAUGGGCGCAAGCCUGAUCCAGCCAUACCGCGUGGGUGAAGAAGGCCUUCGGGUUGUAAAGCCCUUUUGUUGGGAAAGAAAAGCAGCAGGCUAAUACCCCGCUGUUCUGACGGUACCCAAAGAAUAAGCACCGGCUAACUUCGUG
rnacentral:rRNA from 1 species